rnacentral:rRNA from 1 species
CCAGACUCCUACGGGAGGCAGCAGUGGGGAAUAUUGGGCAAUGGGCGCAAGCCUGACCCAGCAACGCCGCGUGAAGGAAGAAGGCUUUCGGGUUGUAAACUUCUUUUAAGAGGGAAGAGUAGAAGACGGUACCUCUUGAAUAAGCCACGGCUAACUACGUGCCAGCAGCCGCGGUAAUACGUAGGUGGCAAGCGUUGUCCGGAUUUACUGGGUGUAAAGGGCGUGUAGCCGGGCCGGCAAGUCAGAUGUGAAAUCCCAAGGCUCAACCGGUGGCCUGCAUUUGAAACUGUUUUUCUUGAGUACUGGAGAGGCAGACGGAAUUCCUAGUGUAGCGGUGAAAUGCGUAGAUAUUAGGAGGAACACCAGUGGCGAAGGCGGAUUGCUGGACAGUAACUGACGCUGAGGCGCGAAAGCGUGGGGAGCAAACAGGAUUAGAUACCCGCGUAUAU